rnacentral:lncRNA from 1 species
AAAUUUACGUCUUUGUUUCUUUAAUAAAGUUAUUAGCAAUUAAAUGGUCAUGGAGAAUUUGUUUAUCCAUAAAUCCUCUCUGUGUAUGUAUGAUGGGAAGAUAGAAUGGCUUGAUGCUACAACAUCGUUUGAUUUUAUUUGAAGUUAUUUUGCUCUUUGAAGUGUUAGAGCAUGGCUGGUAUUACAAGUAUAUAAGACCAUCAGCUUUUUAUAUUUCCUGUGAGUUUUGGGAGUUUUGAAGUUUUUGUAAACUUCCGUGUGUCUGUAUUCCUUCUCAUCCCACCUAGGUAACACUGUGAUGUUUCA